GGGUGGGGGAGCUGGUUGCCAUGAGGGAACAUACUGUGAAUCUGUUCCAGCCUAGGCACAGAAUAUGUAGUCCAGGGACAAGAAGGAGGGUGAACUGUGUUUUCAGAACCCUGAAAACACACCCCAGACAGAGAGUAAAGAAGGACAGGCUGAGGAAAUGCAUCAAGGAGAGCUGGAGGAGCAGUGGAAGCUCAGAGCAUAGAGCCCCAGCAGAUUGCCGUUUGUGCCUCCUGUUGUGGUGAGGGUGGGUCCCCACCAUCAAUGAAGAGCCUAUAAAAGGAAGAUCAAGAGAGUGAGAAGCCGGCAAGUUCUUCACAGACGGAUGUUUGGAGCUGGAAUUCACAUUAUCUUUAUAGAC